CUCUGGGCCCUUGAGAUCCUUUUUAUACUGCCGAAAAUUUGCUCAGGGUUGAGUCUUUAAUAGUAUCUCGUCGGUGACAUAGCAAAAAAUAUAACCAAAAAAUCGUGGACAUUACCGACCGGAUUAUAGACAUUGGUAGUUCAAUGUUUACAUUUCGUGGACAUAGAGGCGCUUCAAAAUAAAGUAACAGUUAAAUCCCGGGCUUGGCCGCUCUUAGACUUCUCUUUAGUAGUACUGAAAGCAUCUACUGCUUGCAUCCCGUUGGUGUCUGAUUGGACGAAAUUCCAUCCCCACAUUCCCCACCUUAUUAUGUGCAAUGCUUCACCUUUAGAAUUCCACCAUGUGUAAACCAUUACAAGAAUACCGGUUUGUAAUCUCACUUGUAACUUUUUCGGUAUAAUUACUACAAAUACUUCAACGCAUUAUUAUUUAUAUAUCAAAUUUAUGAUCAUAAAAGUAUUGCCGCGUAUCAAAAUGGAGACCAAUCAUUUUGGUACUAUUGACGAAAGUGUAAAUGAGAAUGUAAUAGGAGCCGAGACUGUUGAUGUAGUUUUGGAAGAAGCUGAAAUAGUGGAUUGCGAUGCUAAUGAACACCAGGAUGAUGACAUUCAGUACCACCUGUAUGCGAUAAAUAGACGUAACAAUACAGUAGCGUACAAAGUUAUGCAGGUCAGCAACGAUAGCAGAGAGGAUAACGAAAUUUCGAUAGCUACUCCUGUGAAUAAUACUGUCCAAGUUUUGACUGCACCAUUAAGUGGGCAAUUAUACGUACUCAGUAAUAGCAAUGACAUUGUAACGACAGAAUCCACUAAAGCAGUUGUACCUAGUGUAGCUAAAUUGCAUAUAGAAGGAUCACAGAAUAUUAUAACCACUGUAAAGAAGAGGGAUGAAAGACGAAGGGUAACACAUAAUGAAGUUGAAAGACGUAGAAGAGACAAAAUUAGCAGUUGGAUUUCUAAGUUGGCAAAACUCUUAGCAGAUUGUGAACAGUACAUGGAUGAAGAAGACACAAAACCGAAUUUAGAAACACUAAGCAAAGGAGGUAUUCUGGCACGAGCUUAUGAAUACAUUAUGGAAUUAAAAGAUGCUCCGGACAAAUUAACCCUUAGCUUGAAUGAAAAUGUGCUGUUAAUGGAAGAAAUUGACCAACUGCAGCAAGUCGUAACUGAAUUAAGAGACGAAAAUUCACAAUUGAAAAACCAAGUUUCAAAACACGAAGAUAUAACUAUACUCGGUACUUAAAUCUUUAUAAGGAUUAUACAUCUUUAUAAAUGAUUUCCUGUUCAUAUUUUGUGUUGCUGAUAUAAAUGAAUAUCUUUAUGACAAGAUGGAAUAAGAACACACACAUGGACAAGUAUAAUAGUUAUAAAAUGUUUAUUUACAUAUUUGUAACUCAGCAUAUGUAUAUACAGUGUGUACCCAAAAUUCAUGUCUCACAAUACCAUAGCAAGAAAGUUUUGGAAAAGUUAAGUAAAAAGUUAUUUAUGAAUUUUUAUUUUAUUAUUAUUUAAGUAAUAAGUUUUGAAAUACAAGAAUUUAGAUAUGGCCAAUUGCAAAUUAUCUAUGUAUUAAUGAGCGCGCUGAAAGGCGCGUUCAUUAAUACAACUGCAAAUGUAAUUCAUGAACAGAUCAUCUAAAUGUAAUUGGCCAUAUUUACAAAUUUUCAUCAUCCCAAAAAUUACUGCUUAAAAAUUUAUCAAUAACUUUUUUACUUAAUUUUUCGAGAACUUUCUUACUAUAAUAUUUUGUGUCGCGAAAUUUUGAAACACCCUGUGUGUAAUAUGUGCGUGUUUGUGUGCGUGCGUGCAUGUGUGUAGGUGUGUGGGUGUGUGUUUUUGUAUUUCUAGAACAAUGACAAUCAUUGUAUAACAUUCUAUUGUACAUAUUGUAAACAAUAAUUAGCGAACAAUUAAUUUCGCAAUGACGAAUCAUCGUCAAGAUGAUUAAAUUAAAGAAAUAUACAAAUAUACAAAAUGAUAUCACCGUUUAAUUAGUAAUCAACUAUAUGAACGUCAGAUAUAUUGCUUAAAUAAAAACAGCGAUUAUGCAUUAUCUGUGCUUUUUCUCUUGCAUCGUUAGUGUAGCGCGAGCUCGCUACGGAAAAAAAUAGAAAAAAAUUAUCUGUUUAUUUUAUCAGAGUGUACGCACAUGGUUAUCAAUAUCAAAUCUCAGGAAAAAUAUAAACACGUUUUUAAACACGUUAUAUGUACGUAACUGUCUAAAUUAUAACAAUAACUCUUAGUUUAAUACUUAUUGCUUCGAAGCGUUUUUCCUCAAGUUUUGUGCAGAUCUUGUUUGUAUGACAGUUUCUGAAAAAAGGGGGAGGGAGGAUAGUAUUUUCCGAGAUAUAAAUUAAUCGCGGUGUUGAGAUUACGUUAGAUAUGUAAUUCAUCUGUCGAUGAGAGACCUGUACAUGAGAGCUCGUGAGUGCAAGAUACGAAAUGUCCACGGAUUUCGAUUACUUCUCCGUCGUGACAGUGCAAGUACAGUUUUGUGAAUUAUUUUGUGCUUACUUGUGCAUUACACAAUAUCAUGUCCCGUAGACAACACGAGUGUCGUCAAAAGAUGCCUGUAAAACUUAUUGAGAAGACGUUCCUCUGAAGGAUGUCUCUUAAAGUCUCUUGCGUGUUGCUGCUCGGGAUCUUUCCACUAUUUAUUUUUAACAAAUUACGCCUUUUUCUUAUACUUAUGUUGGCCAUUAAAGCAUUUCAUGUAUUAGCGAUACUUAUUGAAAAAAUCACAUUCGAACUAAUGAGUCAUUUCUUCUAUAAAAAUAACUCUGAAAUGAGUUGGGUCCAGCAACAAAUUGCGCCUCUCCUAAAUCUAAACAUCAACAGGCUAAUGAUCUUUCUGUACAGUAGGAAUCUUGAUCCAUUCUUUUAUCAUUAUAUUGUCCUCGUCAUAUAUAGUAAUUUACGCUGUCGGGAAAUAAGUAAAAAUAUACUUUUCUGUGUUAUACAAAACGUAAGUAUCGUCUCGCCCAUACUUGUGUUACAUUCCUUUAGACACAAAUAUCAAAAAGACAGAAUAAUUGCGUUUGUCCCUCGUAUGUAUGUAGAGAGAAAAUCGAAAACGCACCGAUCUUUCUCUUAUUACAGACCGGAUUAAACAAUUUUAAUGAACGAAGACGUAUUUCUUUAAACUUAUUGGCAGUGUUGGAAACUUUCAGAAUCCGUGAUUAAAUCGCUAAAACUGCAAGAUCGAACAUUUUGUCAAGGGACCGCAUAGAUAAUAUGCACAAUUAACACAGAAGUUUUGCUGGCUGACAGAUAUUUUCUCGUUGCUAGAUCAUCUUUCAUACAAGAGUAGAAAACAUUGAGAGAGAUUCCCUCGAUCAUCUCCUUUUUCCUCUUUCUUCUUUCUUUCAUCUUUUUUUUUCUUUUAAAAGUUUAGCGCUUUAUAUCGCAGUUGAAUAAGGAGGCGUGAUAUGCGAGUACUUACAUAUCUUGACUAAUCACUUUUUUCAUCUGUAUGAAUAAUACUGCUACUAUGUUGUUCCGCAAAAACAUAAACUUUUAUUUUUCUUUCCUUUUGCUCUUGCGUUUCAUCUUCUCGUUUUUUCCUUGUCCUUUCGCCGUUCGCAAUUUCGUACAAACUACUACAAAUAUUUUACCAUUAUGACGCGAAAUAACGAACAUUAGUUAGGCAGUAAGAGUUACCUUGUAUAGCUCGCUGAAGAUUUUCUCUACAAAAUACAUCUAUAUUUUCGUUGAGAGAAAAGUGGUAUGCGGAAUCGCUGAUCAGAAUUUCCUCGCAAAAUCAAUCAAUAUGAAUUUCGUGAUCGAACUUGCUAACACUUGCGCAGAACGUGUUAUUAGAAACGAUUCUCGUUGUACAUAAAAUUGGUCGAAAAAAUUAUUCUCAAAAUAGUCAAAUAAUCUAGACGAAGGCGAAGCUCAUUUAAUUCAAUUCAAAUAUUUCCUGAUCGAUCCCGUCGCAUUUCUCUCUCAAGAUUACAACCUCAAGGUUUUCUCUUGAGGAAGCAUCUCGGUCGUCAGUCUUUCGAUUAUCAUAAAAAAUACAGCCGUGUGACGUACCAUGCCAGCUUUACCAUUCAAAAAGCGAUUGCGUGUGUAACAAUACAUCAUAUAUUAUGUAUAUCAUGUUUUCAUCGGCGUUUACCAAGAAUUCGCGAUGAAGAAUGACUAGUACUUUCUCUUUAGUACUUCAUAAGCCCGCUAUUGACUUUAUGUUAUAUUUACUAUCUACUUCUCUAAAUGUCUCUCUCUACUUUUCUAAUCUACCCUCAUGUCCGUUGCUAUUAAUGUAGUUUUUUAACGUCAAAUAUCUACAAGAUCGAUUAUACAUCUUUUUCAGCUCGUAACAAAUAUUUUUCUUCUCCGAGACUGUCUUUAGACAGUGUUAAUCUCAGACUGAGCACCGCCGUAACGUAACGUCGAAGAUGAUCGAACAUUGCUUUAAGACCUAAGAAUUAGAGGAGCACCGAUUCAAAGACUCACAAAAUCCUGGUUAGGCAUAAUGAGCGACUUUUGCUCGCAAAUAUCUAAAUUGGACGAUGACAUUUGAUAGAGACAAACGUCUGUUUUCGCGAGAGAGGCAGUAAAUGAAAAAUCAUUGGAAGUUUCUUCUAUUUUCCUCUCCACGGACAAUGAUCAAGAUCGGUGGAUAGCGAUUAUUUUCUCUGCCUUAGAAAAAGAUUCGAGGUAUACUUCGUAGGACAAAAUCCACUUAUGAAUUAACACCUCCGUGCCGUACAUAUGACGAGGCGCUGUUCAUCCUCGGUCCUAGCGAUCAGUGGUUCGUUCAUCGAUCCACGAAAAAUAAUUUCCACGAUUUGACUCGUUGCAAAGUGAGCAGUAUCACUCUGAUUGGAAUAUCAGUUAACAAAGAUAUUCUCGAGUGUCUGCUCGCAAAGGUUCCUGAGCAACCAAUUUUCGAAGCAACCAAUAUCGAGAUGUAUCGCGCCAGGAUUUCGAUAGGACGAUGCAGCGUCAUU